GACGAACGCUGGCGGCGUGCCUAAUACAUGCAAGUCGAACGAGAGCGACCGGUGCUUGCACUGGUCAAUCUAGUGGCGAACGGGUGAGUAACACGUGGGUAACCUGCCCAUCAGAGGGGGAUAACAUCCGGAAACGGAUGCUAAAACCGCAUAGGUCUUCGAACCGCAUGGUUUGAAGAGGAAAAGAGGCGCAAGCUUCUGCUGAUGGAUGGACCCGCGGUGCAUUAGCUAGUUGGUGAGGUAACGGCUCACCAAGGCCGUGAUGCAUAGCCGACCUGAGGGGGUGAUCGGCCACAUUGGGACUGAGACACGGCCCAAACUCCGACGGGAGGCAGCAGUAGGGAAUCUUCCGCAAUGGACGCAAGUCUGACGGAGCAACGCCGCGUGAGUGAAGAAGGUUUUCGGAUCGUAAAACUCCGUUGUUAGAGAAGAACAAGUGCUAGAGUAACUGUUAGCGCCUUGACGGUAUCUAACCAGAAAGCACGGCUAACUACGUG
rnacentral:rRNA from 1 species